CAGUCGCCGCGGUAAAACGAGGGGGGCAAGCGUUGUUCGGAUUUAUUGGGCGUAAAGGGUGCGUAGGCGGUUCGGCAAGUCUUGUGUGAAAUCUUCGGGCUCAACCCGAAGCCUGCACGAGAAACUACCGGGCUUGAGUAUUGGAGAGGUGAGUGGAAUUUCCGGUGUAGCGGUGAAAUGCGUAGAUAUCAGAAGGAACACCUGUGGCGAAAGCGGCUCACUGGACAAUAACUGACGCUGAUGCACGAAAGCUAGGGGAGCAAACAGGAUUAGAUACCCGCGUAGUCCCUGUCUCUUAUAC
rnacentral:rRNA from 1 species